GAGGGUGGAGCUCAGAGGUACAGUGCAUGCUUAGCAGGCACGAGGUCCUGGGUUCAAUCCCUAGUACCUCCA
rnacentral:tRNA from 1 species